rnacentral:rRNA from 1 species
GGUUGUGGUGAGGGUAGUGGGUAAAGAAGCGCCGGCUAACUACGUGCCAGCAGCCGCGGUAAUACGUAGGGCGCGAGCGUUGUCCGGAAUUAUUGGGCGUAAAGAGCUUGUAGGCGGUUUGUCGCGUCUGCUGUGAAAGGCCGGGGCUUAACUCCGUGUAUUGCAGUGGGUACGGGCAGACUAGAGUGCAGUAGGGGAGACUGGAACUCCUGGUGUAGCGGUGGAAUGCGCAGAUAUCAGGAAGAACACCGGUGGCGAAGGCGGGUCUCUGGGCCGUUACUGACGCUGAGGAGCGAAAGCGUGGGGAGCGAACAGGAUUAGAUACCCUGGUAGUCCACGCUGUAAACGUUGGGCACUAGGUGUGGGGGCCACCCGUGGUUUCUGCGCCGUAGCUAACGCUUUAAGUGCCCCGCCUGGGGAGUACGGCCGCAAGGCUAAAACUCAAAGGAAUUGACGGGGGCCCGCACAAGCGGCGGAGCAUGCGGAUUAAUUCGAUGCAACGCGAAGAACCUUACCAAGGCUUGACAUAUACUGGACCGCAUCAGAGAUGGUGUUUCCCUUCGGGGCUGGUAUACAGGUGGUGCAUGGUUGUCGUCAGCUCGUGUCGUGAGAUGUUGGGUUAAGUCCCGCAACGAGCGCAACCCUUGUCUUAUGUUGCCAGCACGUUAUGGUGGGGACUCAUGAGAGACUGCCGGGGUUAACUCGGAGGAAGGUGGGGAUGACGUCAAAUCAUCAUGCCCCUUAUGUCUUGGGCUUCACGCAUGCUACAAUGGCCGGUACAGAGGGUUGCGAUACUGUGAGGUGGAGCUAAUCCCUUAAAGCUGGUCUCAGUUCGGAUUGGUGUCUGCAACUCGACACCAUGAAGGUGGAGUCGCUAGUAAUCGCAGAUCAGCAACGCUGCGGUGAAUACGUUCUCGGGCCUUGUACACACCGCCCGUCACGUCACGAAAGUUGGCAACACCCCAAGCCCGUGGCUCUACGGGGAGCGGUUAAAGGUGGGGCUAGCGAUUGGGACGAAGUCGUAACAAGGUAGCCGUACCGGAAGGUGCGGCUG